AUGGACCUCGUCUCCAUCGCUAGUACUAUUACUUUUAAAGACUGUGAGGAUACUCCGGUGUGGAAGUAUAGUGCAAAUGGGCAAUAUUCUGUUAAAUCCUUUUACAAUAUUGUAAACUUUAGAGGUAUCCUCCCUGUCCAUACACAAAAUGUGUGGAAGCUGAGGAUUGUCCCUAGAGUUCAAAUUUCUCUUUGGCUAGUAUAUAAUAAUAAGAUUCUAACCAGGGAUAAUCUUGCUAAGAGGCAGCAUGUCCCAGACAUGACUUGCGUAUUUUGCUCUGAAGCAGAAUCUUGCCAGCAUCUAUUUUUUGAUUGUGUAGUGUCGAUUGAACUCUGGAGAACUAUUGCGGACAUAUCAGGAGUUGGCAAGGUCUAA
rnacentral:rRNA from 1 species